rnacentral:rRNA from 1 species
GUGUCAGCAGCCGCGGUAAUACGGAGGGUGCAAGCGUUAUCCGGAAUCACUGGGUUUAAAGGGUGCGUAGGCGGUUCGAUAAGUCAGUUGUGAAAUCUCUUGGCUUAACCAAUGAAAUUGCGAUUGAUACUGUUGGACUUGAAUCAGGUUGAGGUAGGCGGAAUGUGGCAUGUAGCGGUGAAAUGCAUAGAUAUGCCAUAGAACACCGAUUGCGAAGGCAGCUUGCUGGGCCUGAAUUGACGCUGAGGCACGAAAGCGUGGGGAGCAAACAGGAUUAGAAACCCGAGUAGUCC